AACUUAAAACCUCUGUAAAAUCUUGACCCUUCUCCGAAAUUUUGAAACAGAGAGCUGAGAUGGGAACCCCAGAGACUUCCAGAGAACCGUGUCCAGAUCGAAUCUUAGACGACAUCGGUGGAGCCUUCGGGAUGGGUGCUGUUGGCGGCUCUGCCUUCCACUUCCUCAAAGGCGUGUAUAACUCCCCAAGCGGCUCCCGUCUCAUCGGCGGUACUCAAGCUGUUCGAAUGAACGCGCCCCGUGUAGGCGGCAGCUUCGCUGUCUGGGGCGGGCUUUUCUCCACCUUCGAUUGCUCCAUGGUCUACCUCCGUCAGAAAGAGGACCCCUGGAACUCCAUCUUUGCUGGCGCCGCCACUGGCGGUUUCCUCUCCAUGCGCCAGGGGCUUGGCUCGUCGGCUCGCUCCGCUGUUUUCGGUGGCGUUCUCUUGGCGCUAAUCGAAGGAGCUGGAAUCAUGCUUAAUAAAGUUCUUAGUGGCCCGCAAAACAUGCCGAUUAUUAUGGAGGAGCCGACCCCUGGUAUGGUUGGUGGGCCAGGGUUUCCUGGCGGCUUACCGGGUCCGACCGGUCAAAGAGUGGAAUCUAAUUCUUCUGAGUCGGAUUCAGGUUGGUUUGGAGGGUUCUUUGGUGGAAGCAAGAAGAAAGAAAGCCCGGCGGGCAGUGGAAGUAAGACCGAGAUUUUGGAGAGUUUCGAUGCCCCUCCGGUGCCCAAUUUUGAGUACAAGUGAAAAAUCAGGCAAUGGCAGAAUGAAGAGCUUUUAAAAUUGAUCGUGUUCAUAGCAGAUAUGAAUAAUUUUCAUUCAUUUUGCUUGUUCUACCAUUCAAAGCUGAGGAGAAGGAAACCCAAAAAGAGAAGUAAUUUGAUGUUCAAACAUCAUUCAAUAAGUAUACAAAGCAUCUUUUAAACUUAUACAUACACACUCCCUCUAAACGAAAUUGAAAAUUCAAUCAGAUUUAUAGAUGGAAACACCAGAUUUGGUGUGAGAAGUAUCCGCUUUUAAGAUUGGUGAAACCCUGCUAGUGGUGGAAGGUUGCACAGUCUGAGAAGGAGGAUAAAAGUAAUCAGUUGGAAAGAAGUAAUAUUGUUGUGAAGGAACAACUGCUUUCUCAGCAGUAGACUCUAAUGGAGGUGAUGUACGAGGGUGGAAGAAAUCAGUGGGAAAGAAUUUGAAUUGAAGGCCGGCCAUGAAAGAAGGGGUUUGGUUUAGAUUGAUUCUGUUUUCUACCUUGUUAUAGCCGGGGAGGGAAAAGCAUAUAUAUAUAUGCUUUGUCGUUUUAGGGGUAAUUUCCUAGUUAUCUCUGCGGAAUACAAAUUGCUAUCAAAUGACUUUGUCGUUUUAAUGGUUUUGAUCAUAAUUUACCUUUUUACAAAGUUGUAAAUUGGGAUUACACCAAAUUGACUAUUUUUAAA